ensembl:ncRNA Y116F11B.24 ncRNA
CGGGGCCACUUCUAUUUUUUCUACUUUUUAUAUGGAUUUUUCCUUAGAAACUUUGUUUUGGGACAAAUGAGAAAUAAAAAUCAUCUACCUCCAAGUCCUGUCACGCCACCUGACAAAUUAUGAAGUGAUUUUUUUACCUUCUCAUAUGUAAAAGGGGGACACUACGCUAUGCAUACCGAGUUUCUGACAUUCGAUGGAUCUUGGGCAACAUCCUUUAAUGUUCAAAAAGGCCGAGCAAAGCUUGAAAUGGAAAUUAGAGAGUGAAUGGACAGUCAUGAAAAUCCCUUUCUCCUGGACACUCGUAAAGACCUCGAUGUGAUUAAAUCCGACGGAACGCUUGCAUCGAUUGUGAAUAGACCUGAUACAUUUCAGUUCAUUGUCUGGAGGCACCACGUUUUCAAGAUCUGGAGAAAUUCCGGAUCUACGAUUUCCGGAUCUGGCACCGUGCCAACGCACAAAACGCUUUUUUAUUCAUUCGAAGCAAGUUGUUUUUUGAAAAUUUCUUCUAGAGGAAACGCUUAACAACACGCGACGCGUAACAACGGAGCAUCAUUGUCACGUUUUUCUCCGAGAAAAAUAGCGUUUUAAGAGUUGGCACGGUGCC